rnacentral:rRNA from 1 species
CAGUGGGGAAUUUUGGGACAAUGGGGGCAACCCUGAUCCAGCAAUGCCGCGUGUGUGAAGAAGGCCUUCGGGUUGUAAAGCACUUUUGUCCGGGAAGAAAUCGCACCUGAUAAUACCGGGUGUGGAUGACGGUACCGGAAGAAUAAGGACCGGCUAACUACGUGCCAGCAGCCGCGGUAAUACGUAGGGUCCAAGCGUUAAUCGGAAUUACUGGGCGUAAAGCGUGCGCAGGCGGUUGUGCAAGACCGAUGUGAAAUCCCCGGGCUUAACCUGGGAAUUGCAUUGGUGACUGCACGGCUAGAGUGUGUCAGAGGGGGGUAGAAUUCCACGUGUAGCAGUGAAAUGCGUAGAGAUGUGGAGGAAUACCGAUGGCGAAGGCAGCCCCCUGGGAUAACACUGACGCUCAUGCACGAAAGCGUGGGGAGCAAACAGGAUUAGAUACCCUGGUAGUCCACGCCCUAAACGAUGUCAACUAGUUGUUGGGGAUUCAUUUCCUUAGUAACGUAGCUAACGCGUGAAGUUGACCGCCUGGGGAGUACGGUCGCAAGAUUAAAACUC